CCUACGGGAGGCAGCAGUGAGGAAUAUUGGUCAAUGGGCGGAAGCCUGAACCAGCCAAGUAGCGUGCGGGAUGAAGGCCCUACGGGUCGUAAACCGCUUUUGCACGGGGAUAACACCCUCCACUUGUGGAGGUCUGCAGGUACCGUGCGAAUAAGGGCCGGCUAAUUCCGUGCCAGCAGCCGCGGUAAUACGGAAGGCCCGAGCGUUAUCCGGUUUCAUUGGGCUUAAAGGGAGCGUAGGCGGGCGUUAAAGUUAGCUGGAAAAUCGCGGGGCUCAACCGCGCCGCGCAGUUGAAACUGGGCGCAUAGAGAUCAGAAGAGGCAGGCGGAAUUCGUGGGGUAGCGGUGAAAUGCAUAGAGAUC
rnacentral:rRNA from 1 species